GGGUGCCCAGGAAGGGAUGAUGCUCCUUGAAGACCCAAGAAAAGGAUUCUGAGCCUCAGAGCUCUGAAGGAGCCACUUGGUCCCUGACCUUCCUGGAGGCGAA